rnacentral:rRNA from 1 species
CGACCUGAGAUCGGACGAGAU